rnacentral:rRNA from 1 species
UACAGAGGAUGCAAGCGUUAUCCGGAAUGAUUGGGCGUAAAGCGUCUGUGAGGUGGCUUUUCAAGUCCGCCGUCAAAUCCCAGGGCUCAACCCUGGACAGGCGGUGGAAACCUACCAAGCUGGAGUACGGUAGGGGCAGAAGGGAAUUUCCGGUGGAGCGGGUGAAAGUGCAUUUGAGAUCGGAAAGAACACCAACGGCGAAAGCAGCUCU